UACGAGGGGGGCAAGCGUUGUUCGGAAUUAUUGGGCGUAAAGGGCGCGUAGGCGGGCGGCCAAGUCAGAGGUGAAAGCCUCCAGCUCAACUGGAGAAGUGCCUUUGAUACUGGUCGUCUCGAGGGAGAUAGGGGCGUGCGGAACUUCCGGUGGAGCGGUGAAAUGCGUAGAUAUCGGAAGGAACACCGGUGGCGAAAGCGGCGCGCUGGAUCUCUUCUGACGCUGAGGCGCGAAAGCCAGGGGAGCGAACGGG
rnacentral:rRNA from 1 species